rnacentral:rRNA from 1 species
GCGUCGCAGCCCCGGACCAAGGCGCCCGCCGGAGGACCAACUCCAA